rnacentral:lncRNA from 1 species
AAUCUAAGAAUCUUCAAUAUUAUUCUACAGUCCAAUAUCUUAUUUCCCCAGUCUGUGCUGAGUGUCUAAAGCUUAUUCGAAUCCUGGGCUGACCCAGCCAGCAGGGUUACUGAUAGAACCAGUGAACAUUUGCGGAACGCUUACUAUGUAUCAGAAACUCUUCUAAGAACUUCGACCAGACACAAACUCUAGAGAAUAUCAUAUCUCUGUACCCUUCCCAGAGAGCAGGGCUGAAGAGGUGGAUACAGCAAUACUGAGAGGUCUGCGUGGCUUGUAGACAGCUCUGAGAGGUUGACCAAACCAAACAUUGAGGAAUUGUUUCUAGAACUGAGAAGUUGCCUUACAUGUGAGAUGGCUCUGAGUCUCAUGCCAAAACUGCUGGUGGAAGUCACUUUUCUUACUGAAAGAGUUGCUUCCUAGCUGAUUACAGCCGGUGUCACAACCAGAUAAAGCAAAGAUGUUGCUGAAAGGCAGCGUGGUGGGAGAUCUGGAGUGAACACAGGGCAGCUGGCUUCACAGCUGUGCAAACUAUGUAAUUCUAUGGUUUCAGUGGGAGGUAAUAAACAGCUGUAAACUUCCGCA